GUGCUUAAAGAAUGGCUGUCCGUACUAUGGUCUCUAUAUUUAUGAUGAUUAAUAUCGGACAACCAUUGUUUUAGUAUCC
ensembl:miRNA